UUUUUCAAACUUCUAAAUGAAUAGUAUGUUUCGUACAACAAUUUUCUAUACAAAAUUCGUUUAUACCCUAUCUAUUUCAACUAUGUCUGUCAGUCCAGAUACAACAUUAUGUGUUUCAUCUUAUAACAUCAUACUUAACUCUUCUCUCCUCGUUCUCUCCCACUGACCCUUUCCUCUUUUCUCUCUCGAGAGAGUUUCUUAUUCUAUUGAGUUCAUACUCUCUUGUUGUACUGUAUCUUCUCCAUCUUUAGGCCCGAGCAAUUACGCGCAC
rnacentral:lncRNA from 1 species